rnacentral:lncRNA from 1 species
CGUGUGUGUGAGCUCUACAGUGAGACGCAGCUGGAGUGUGACGCACAUAGACGUGCCACACCGGGACCAGGACAGCGAACACAACCGCCACGGCGGAGACGCCGGCAGCAGCCGGGAUGGCGGCAGUGAUGUCAAUACAGGGGACGGGUCAGCGAAGGCUGUCUCUGUCACCACGGAAACCCCAGCCGUGCUCCACCUCCGGUCUGAACUGAGCAUUACGAUGUCAUCUGUAGUCCUGUCCUCCAAUGAGAAUGCUGGAUAGUGCUUUUUUCUGGAAUCUCUCACUUGUCCACUUCUCCAUGUGUCCAUCCAUCCACCCAUCCCUCCAUCCGUGCACUCAUCUGUGUGUCCAUUCAUCCACCUGUGGGUAUUGCUCCAACUGUCUGUGGCAUAAGUUGUAAAAAAUUGCACUCAACUCCAGUGUCAGCUGGCUUCCUCUUUUAGACACAGGUUCUGGCGGCCCACCUCCUUCCCCACCACCUCCGGGUUGGUCCCAUUUGGAUGCCCAGGGGGAUGGCUCCACCCUGUCUUCCAUGUAUGACAAGAUCUGCAGUAUCAAGUCCAGACGUAUCAAGGCUUGGGCUGAUGAGAGGACCUACAUCAAAGACUUUAUCCAAAAACAGUUUUUAAGUAAUUUCUUUUUUAAUAUACUUGUAUAUUUUUCAAUAUUAAAUAUUUAAAUAUUUAAUCACAUUUGCUUCAGGAGUCAUAAUAGUAGAAAGAUGCAAUCAAACGACAGCUAAAUAAUUAACCAAAACACACUGCCAAAACUACAAAGGAGUUCAUCAGAGGUGAGAAGUGGAAAGUUUUAGACUGGCCUAGUCAAUCUCCAGUUUUAUAGACCUUAUAUACUCCCCAUAGAUCAGGGGUCAACAAUUAAGUUUGGCCGUGAGCCAGAUAUUUUCCAAGCCUGUUUUGGAAAAUUAAGUGUAAUGGGUUGAAGUGCUACAGACUAGAAGUUCUCCAGGCCAGAGGGUUGUUGAACCCAAUUGCAGUACAGUUGAUCUCAAGCAGGAAAACCCAAGAAAAAAGGAAAAAAUAAAUACAUAAACACACCGCUCCUCA